AAGGGGAAAUUCUCUCCUUCCCGGAAUUAGGAGUCCCGCAGCGAAAGGUGCCAAAACCUCUUCUUUUUUACUCCUUUGCAAGGUCACCCUCCCGGGCCCGGGAACAAGCCCCCCCCUCCCUGGGUCCUUAGAGUCUUGGUCAAAUUAGAGGAAGUAUAAGUCGUAACAACGUUUCGGAAGGUGAUCAUGCAGAAGGAUCAUUAGAGCGUGUGAAAUCGAGAGCCUGUUGCUGGUGCGGAAGCGCACAUCGUGCACGGCUCCCGUGCUCAAUCCAUUUCAACCCCCUUGUGCACCUUAUCGAAGUCAGUAGUCUUUCUCUUUUUGUUUGCCGGUUGUGUGUGGGAACCUCUUUCUGUUCACUUGGCCGGCGAGGAGAAAUAGAGGGUCGAAAGCUUUGACUUUUCUGUUAAACACUUUGUAUGUCUUGUGGAACGUAUUAGCUCCUUUGUAGGGGCGAAAUAAAUACAACUUUCAACAACGGAUCUCUUGGCUCUCGCAUCGAUGAAGAACGCAGCGAAAUGCGAUAAGUAAUGUGAAUUGCAGAAUUCAGUGAAUCAUCGAAUCUUUGAACGCACCUUGCGCCCCUUGGUAUUCCGAGGGGCAUGCCUGUUUGAGUGUCAUGUUAAUCUCAAACCCCUUGUCUUUUUUGUUGACUUGGUCGGUUUGGACUUGGAGGUGUUGCUGGCGUGCGUCGGCUCCUCUUAAUUGCAUUAGCUGGACUUUGGUUCGCAUUUGACGGUGUAAUAGUAAAGUGUUCGCCGGGCGUGCUUGCCUAACGGGUCUGCUUCUAAUCGUCUUCGGACAACUCUGUUCAUUUUGACCUUUGACCUCAAAUCAGGUAGGACUACCCGCUGAACUUAAGCCUAUCAAUAAUCAGAGGAAAAGAAACUCAGAGGGAAUCCCCUAGUAACUGCGAGUGAAGCGGGAAGAGCUCGAAUUGGGAAUCUGGCAGCUUUCGGUCGUCGCAGUUGUAAUCUGUAGAAGCAUUAUCCGCGAUAGACAGUGUCGAGGUUGCAUGAUGUCANGUUCUCCUGAGCAUGGACNUUAAGGGACGUGGAAACGAGUCGAGGGGGUUUAGAGCACGCGUCCCUACCGGACCUAGCCUCCUGGAGUGCAGGUCUCCUGGUAUGGGCCCGGCCUGGACAUGAC
rnacentral:rRNA from 1 species